rnacentral:rRNA from 1 species
UUAUNGUUAGUUGCCAUCAUUAAGUUGGGCACUCUAGCGAGACUGCCGGUAAUAAACCGGAGGAAGGUGGGGAUGACGUCAAAUCAUCAUGCCCCUUAUGACCUGGGCUACACACGUGCUACAAUGGCUGGUACAACGAGUCGCAAGCCGGUGACGGCAAGCUAAUCUCUGAAAGCCAGUCUCAGUUCGGAUUGUAGGCUGCAACUCGCCUACAUGAAGUCGGAAUCGCUAGUAAUCGCGGAUCAGCACGCCGCGGUGAAUACGUUCCCGGGCCUUGUACACACCGCCCGUCACACCACGAGAGUUUGUAACACCCGAAGUCGGUGAGGUAACCGUAAGGAGCCUGCCGCCUAAGGUGGGAUAGAUGAUUGGGGUGAUGUCGUAACAAGGUAGCCG